UAAACUCGCGAGCUCCUGUGCUGAAAUUACUUUUAGCAACAGUUACUCUUUUAUGGUUGUUGACUUCUACUGGGCCCUGUUUUUUGCCAUUGUGGAAACAGUCUUCUAAGAGGAAAAAAAAAAAAGAAAGAAAGAAACUGCGGAAACCUAUUGCAACCCUUGCCUCCGCCCGGCGCGCGCGCGCGCGGGCUGGAGGCAAGGUGGGCGGAGCGGCGUGCCCCCCCGAGCCUUAUACGUUUGGGGCGCGCGCCCGGGGGCGGGGCGCAGCGAGGCCGCGGCGGGAGCUCGAGCUUCCCCUGUGCCCGCACAACUCUCACUCGGGGGCGGCCCUGCGGAGAAAACGUGGGAAAAGGCGUGAGUUUUGGCGGGACUGUUCGGAGGCUUCACCUUUGGCGUCUGUCACGUUUGUGGAGGCAUCUUAAAUUAUCCUGCGUGGGCACGGAAAAAACGAAGUCUGCAAGGCACCAUGAUAAAAAAGGGAAAGAAGGAUGUAGAAGGAACUGACGCGGCCUGGUGUUGCUGGGAGCUCUGCCCUAGCCAUUGCGAAGAAGCAGGGACGAGCAUUUGGCUUGCUCCCCGCCAGCUUUCCCAGCCCGGCCCUGAAGCCGUUUCCUCAACUCGGGGAAGACAGUGUCCCGGCGCCUCCCCUGAGCGUCCCUGAGGCGCGGGCGGGCGCCCUCGCCCCUCCCCGCGAGCUGGGGCCUGCCUUGCGGGACGCGACGCGUUGCUGUGGCGGUAGCCGUGGGGACCCGGGGCCGCCUGGUGCGCCACACGGGCACCUUGGCUCAGAUUCACGUCACAACUGCAAAAAUAACUCGGAAAUGCUGAACUACAGCGCCUUGUUUUGGUAGAAGUUUUAGGGGACCCAGACUCUACAGUAGCUGGAAUAUGCAAUUAUAAUGCUUUUCAGUUUUAGCGCUAGAAUAAUUAAAAUGAGGACUAGUCGUUUUUCUGAUGGACAAGUGAUUCUUGAUGUGACAUUAAAUAUCUGGGUUUUAACUGAGUUAAUGAUAGGGAUUGGACAGUGAUUUUUAGAAGAACCGUUAACUGGCCUGUAUACAUCAACUCUGGAAGGCUUAAUGAGAAACAUCUAUACUGGAUUAUCAAAUUUAUUUCUCUGUGUUGUUCUCAGUAGCUGUUUAAUUGUAAAAGGCAGAGCCAUUCUCUUGAGAAGUACUGUUGAAGUCAGUGUUUUGACCUUCAUGAUAUAAGAAUUCAAACUUUGAAAAAGGAAACAAAAAACUUUUGUACAAUUUAAUAAAUGCAUUCAACACAGAAGUGACUUUUAUUUUUUUUAUUUUUAUUUUUUGUGGUACACGGGCCUCUCACUGCUGUGGCCUCUCCCGUUGCGGAGCACAGGCUCUGGACGCGCAGGCUCAGCGGCCAUGGCUCACGGGCCCAGCCGCUCCGCGACAUGUGGGAUCUUCCCGGACCGGGGCUCGAACCCACGUCCCCUGCAUUGGUAGGCGGACUCUCAACCACUGCACCACCAAGGAAGCCCCAAAAGUGACUUUUAAAUGGUAUUACAUUGACUACAGACAAGUUGGACAAUUUAGUCUUCGAUUUGUACAAAGCCUGUACAAAGUGCUUAAGAAAUGUGAUAAAGCUAAGGACUUUUUGAAGCCUUUGGCAGUAAUUGGAUUUAACUUACCUUCAAAGCAUCCCAGAACUUCAUAAAAUGUAAAAUUAUGAGCAAUAUCUCAAAUGAGGAUUUCGUAAGAAAAGAGUUUGGUGCGAUUGGUCUGGAGAAGUCAGCUCUGCUGAAUGUCUCUUUUCCUCAUAAGCCUCACAUUUUAUGUCUCCUACCCCUCUGAAUCUACUGGCUUAUGCAUCUGAUGUUCCUGUCACCUCUGCUGGAUGAUGGCAGCUGCAGCCCAUUGCUCCUUUUAAGCAAGCAUGCCAGAAAGCUGGGAGAACCACAACUGCCCUUUUCAGAGCAACAGAAUCUUCUGGGUAGCUACCGCUCGGACUUCUUCUAAGUAAGGAUCCCUUCACGGAAACCACAUGUAUAGGUAAAAGAUCUGCCGUAGUCUUCAGCCUAAUGGCUGUGCCCGUCAUAAAGGUCAGCCACAGCUGAGGAAGGCCAUUUAUGUUUUGCACUUGGAUAUCAAAUGUAGUGUGUAUUUAGUAUUCAAAAUUAUGUGGUUGAUAUA